GGGGCUGAUCGGUAUCGAUGGGGGCCACUUACAUCUAUGAUCAAGCCGAGUGGGUGCUGCCACUCGUAAAUCCCUCAGCGCAAGACUACAACUGCAAACAACGUCAUGGCGAAGAUCAAGAAUGCGUUCAGUGUUCCUGCUCUCGCUCCUGUUCUCGCCUAAGGGUUUGAGAACCAUUCGACUUAGCAACGCUCGAUAGCUUUGAUCCGAAUGUCAUAAUUCGAGCUGGUGUAUGAGGUCGUCGAUCUCUCCUACAUAAGAUUGCAGAUCGACAACGCUGUGCGUAUUUGUUCAUGCAUUGAGCGCACAACGUAAACAAGCAUGAAUGCGCUUGGAAACGUCAUUUUGUAAAGACUUACCAGACGGGAGUUCGAUUCUCCCCAGCUCCACCA
rnacentral:tmRNA from 1 species